CCUACGGGAGGCAGCAGUGAGGAAUAUUGGUCAAUGGACGCAAGUCUGAACCAGCCAUGCCGCGUGCAGGAAGACGGCUCUAUGAGUUGUAAACUGCUUUUGUACGAGGGUAAACGCAGAUACGUGUAUCUGUCUGAAAGUAUCGUACGAAUAAGGAUCGGCUAACUCCGUGCCAGCAGCCGCGGUAAUACGGAGGAUGCAAGCGUUCUCCGGAUUUAUUGGGGUUAAAGGGUGCGUAGGCGGUCGGAUAAGGUAGAGGUGAAAUCCCGUGGCUCAACGUCGGAAUUGCCUCUGAUACUGUUCGGCUAGAGCGUAGUUGCGGUAGGCGGAAUGUAUGGUGUAGCGGU
rnacentral:rRNA from 1 species